CAUGCAAAGCGUUUCUACUAAAGCAAUAGAAUAGCAAAUUCAAACAAGUAACAAUUACUAAACAAGAAUGCUAUACUAUUCGGCCCUAGGUGAGGCUUCUUGGACACUUGGAGCCCUUGAAGACACACUCACCGUCUAAAACGUAAUUAAAAGGGUAAUUAACAAUAAACCAAGUUGCAAAGGAAUUAAGAAAACUCCCUUUGUUGAUCCUCUUUUUGGUUAGUGCACUUCCUUGUUGUCUAUGCUUGUUUGAUCCUCCAAGUGUUUGUAGUGUUUUCUUUUUCAAGAAUGCUUGUUUCGGCUUUGGCUUUGUCUUCUCCUUAGAAUGAUGGUCUUAAUUCUCCAAUUUCCAGCACCUAUCAAAGGGCUAAACCUUAACCAAGUCAAGUUUCAAUCCACAUAAGCACUAAAGAAGAGAAGAAAUUCCAGCACCCAAAUUAGAGGUCAAAGAACAAAAGCAAGAAACAAUUAAAUUGAAUAAAACAGUACCACCAAAAGGAUUUAGAUUAUGACAACUAGAAAGAGAGUCAAGAAAUUAAAGCAACAAAUAAAAGGUACUCAAUUAAAGGUUGGCACACAAAAGAAUUCCUAAAGAAAAGCACUAGAUUAGAUGACCAAAUAAAAAAAAACAGCACCACUGGAAAAUGUUGUGGGCCAGAAAACGUGUUUGUU
rnacentral:lncRNA from 1 species